rnacentral:rRNA from 1 species
GGAGGGUGCGAGCGUUAAUCGGAAUUACUGGGCGUAAAGCGCGCGUAGGCGGCCUGAUCAGUCGGAUGUGAAAGCCCUGGGCUUAACCUGGGAAUUGCACUCGAUACUGUCAGGCUAGAGUAUGGGAGAGGGAAGUGGGAUUUCCGGUGUAGCGGUGAAAUGCGUAGAUAUCGGAAGGAACACCAGUGGCGAAGGCGACUUCCUGGCCCAAUACUGACGCUCAGGUGCGAAAGCGUGGGUAGCGAACAGGAUUAGAUACCCUGGUAGUCCACGCCGUAAACGAUGAGAACUAGAUGUCGGGAGGAUUUACCUCUCGGUGUCGCAGCUAACGCGUUAAGUUCUCCGCUGGGGAGUACGCCGGCAACGGUA